rnacentral:rRNA from 1 species
AGUGAACGCUGGCGGUAGGCCUAACACAUGCAAGUCGAACGGCAGCACAGUAAGAGCUUGCUCUUACGGGUGGCGAGUGGCGGACGGGUGAGGAAUACAUCGGAAUCUACUUUUUCGUGGGGGAUAACGUAGGGAAACUUACGCUAAUACCGCAUACGACCUACGGGUGAAAGCAGGGGAUCUUCGGACCUUGCGCGAUUGAAUGAGCCGAUGUCGGAUUAGCUAGUUGGCGGGGUAAAGGCCCACCAAGGCGACGAUCCGUAGCUGGUCUGAGAGGAUGAUCCGCCAACUUGGAACUGAGAACCGGCCCAGACCCCGAGGGGAGGCAACAGUGGGGAAUAUUGCACAAUGGGCGCAAGCCGAACCCAGCCACACCGCGUGGGUGAAGAAGGCCUUCGGGUUGUAAAUCCUUUUUGUUGGAAAAGAAAAGCGGCAGGUUAAACCCCCGGUGUUCUGACGGUACCAAAAAAAUAAGCACCGGCAAACUUCGU